rnacentral:rRNA from 1 species
GUCUGUGGUCACACCACUCUGAAUGAUCUGCUCUUGUCUGAUCUUGGAAGCUAGGUAGGGUGGGGCCUGCCUAGCUAGUACUCGAGACUGUCCAGGGAUACUGGGUGCUGUUGAAU